UUGGCGAUGCGUCUUAAGCAUGCAAGUCGAGCGGGCUUAUUCGGGCAACUGGAUAAGUUAGCGGCGAACUGGUGAGUAACACGUAGGUAAUCUGCCGUAGAGUGGGGGAUAACCCAUGGAAACAUGGACUAAUACCGCAUAUACUCUUGCUACAUAAGUAGAGUAGAGGAAAGGAGCAAUCCGCUUUACGAUGAGCCUGCGGCCUAUUAGCCUGUUGGUGGGGUAACGGCCUACCAAAGCUACGAUAGGUAGCCGACCUGAGAGGGUGACCGGCCACAUUGGGACUGAGAUACGGCCCAGACUCCUACGGGAGGCAGCAGCUGAGAAUCUUCCACAAUGGACGAAAGUCUGAUGGAGCGACAUCGCGUGAGGGAUGAAGGCCUUCGGGUUGUAAACCUGGAAAUUAUCGAAGAAUGAGUGACAGUAGAUAAUGUAAGCCU
rnacentral:rRNA from 1 species